rnacentral:rRNA from 1 species
CCUACGUGUGGCUGCAGUGAGGAAUAUUGGUCAAUGGCCGUAAGGCUGAACCAGCCAAGUCGCGUGAAGGAAGAAGGAUCUAUGGUUUGUAAACUGCUUUUGUACAAGGGUAAACCUGAAUACGUGUAUUCAGCUGAAAGUACUGUACGAAUAAGGAUCGGCUAACUCCGUGCCAGCCGCCGCGGUAAUACGGAGGAUCCAAGCGUUAUCCGGAUUUAUUGGGUUUAAAGGGUGCGUAGGCGGAUUGAUAAGUUAGAGGUGAAAUGUCCGAGCUUAACUCGGGAACUGCCUCUAAUACUGUUGAGCUAGAGAGUAGAUGCGGUAGGCGGAAUGUAUGGUGUAGCGGUGAAAUGCUUAGAGAUCAUACAGAACACCGAUUGCGAAGGCAGCUUACCAAUCUAUAUCUGACGUUGAGGCACGAAAGCGUGGGGAGCAAACAGGAUUAGAUACCCCAGUAGUC